GCGGAGGAAAAGAAACCAACAGGGAUUGCCUCAGUAGCGGCGAGUGAAGCGGCAAAAGCUCAAAUUUGAAAUCUGGCGUCUUUGGCGUCCGAGUUGUAAUUUGAAGAAGGUAUCUUUGGGCCCGGCUCUUGUCUAUGUUCCUUGGAACAGGACGUCACAGAGGGUGAGAAUCCCGUGCGAUGAGAUGACCCGGGUCUGUGUAAAGUUCCUUCGACGAGUCGAGUUGUUUGGGAAUGCAGCUCUAAGUGGGUGGUAAAUUCCAUCUAAAGCUAAAUAUUGGCGAGAGACCGAUAGCGAACAAGUACAGUGAUGGAAAGAUGAAAAGAACUUUGAAAAGAGAGUGAAAAAGUACGUGAAAUUGUUGAAAGGGAAGGGCUUGAGAUCAGACUUGGUAUUUUGCAUGCUGCUCUCUCGGGGGCGGCCGCUGCGGUUUACCGGGCCAGCAUCGGUUUGGAGCGGCAGGAUAAUGGCGGAGGAAUGUGGCACGGCUUCUGCUGUGUGUUAUAGCCUCUGACGAUACUGCCAGCCUAGACCGAGGACUGCGGUUUUUACCUAGGAUGUUGGCAUAAUGAUCUUAAGUCGCCCGUCUUGA
rnacentral:rRNA from 1 species